GUGGUCACGGUGGUGCUACACUCCUGGAAGCUACACUCCUUGACGCUUCGAGACGUCAGAGGCGUGUACCGUGUGAUGUUCAUGGCCAGCCAUGGAUGACCGAGCCAGCCGUUGAUCCAUCCUUUGAACUUAAAUAAAGCCUGUUCAGUUUCUAGUA